GGAGGUACAGCUACACCAAAGGUUACUUUCAGUAACAGAGAUUUCCCUACCAUGUAGAUCUCUCGACAGCCAUGUCCCAACAGGCUCUAAAUCGCUCAUACACAUACCGAGUACUGUUCAAAGCAGACUUGCUUUCAGCAAGAUUAAAUACCUGUUCAGUUUGAACUGUCCCGGUGCCAGGACAAACUACAACUCAACCAGUUCAGACAGCCACCCCACCAGGCACCAAUGGCCUCUGCAACUCCCAGCACCCCAGAUCUGCUGCUUCUGGGAUUUCUGCCAGGAGCUGUGGGGUAGCUCUCCGCUGAGGACAUUGCAAAUUAAAUAUUCUAGAAGUGUGCUUGUGUUUACGUGGAGCGAGGCUGCAACAGUUCAGAAUAUGAGUCAGUACGGUUUGCAUCUACGGAACUGAGCAGCACAGUUAGAAACAGUGCAUUUUCGAGGAAGCGGGGGGGUGUGAAACAGUUCACCCAGGGGAACAGUCAGGCUGCACCUGGCAGGAGCCAGCACUCACCUGGAGACAGCAAUUUGCUCCAGUACCUCACUGCUCCAGAGCCCACGAUUUUCCCAUAGUAAUGUCAGAAGUUUCUGCACAGGAGAGGCACUUUGGUCCUGCCUGUAUCGGGGAGGCUAACAACGGUACAGCCAGACAGGCUGACAGGCAUGCACACCCACAGUGUGGCUCCGAGCCUUACUUUUUUGCCUUGCUUAAAGUGGAAGCUGAAAUAUAGUUCUGAUCAGAACAGCAAAGAAAAAAAGUUAAAAGCAGCUCGAUUAGUUAACGCCACAGCAUCCAAUAAAGUCCUCGGAUGGAAAAGCAGAGCAGAACUGAAGAAGAGCAGCCUGUCCCCGUGCAUCUCACCAUGCUGGUACUUAUGGCCAGGUGCGUUUUAAGGCCAGCACCCCUUCAUCGAGGCACAGGAGAACAGCGUGCCCUCCCAGGGAGCCCUUCUGGCAGCCGUUGGAGCACACAGCCGCUGAGCACACCAGAGGAGCACCGCUGUCUCUCAGGGAUCUGAUGCAGGACGGUUCCUCUGCAAACACAGCUGGAGCCCCUGGCUGCCCCGUGCACACGGCUGUGGGACAGCACAUCUCAGCUCCGGCCACGCUUCAGCUCCCAGAGCACAGCAGCCCACACAAAAAGCUGCGUACGGCUCCGUUGUCGCAAACCUUAGCCGUGCGAAAUCUGUCGAGACGUUCCCAUUCUGAAGCGGCUUUUGUUUUCAUUUUGAACAGAAAAGAUUAAGACAACCACAAGCUGAGAACACUUUUCGGUAUGAUACAGUUCGCUCUGCUUCUCAGGAAGCACGCGAUCCAAGCAGGGCAGCUCACACCGGUAGCUCAGAGCGCACACCGGUGCGGGACGCUGAGCGGGAACGGGGCUACCACAGGGCUGACAGCUCCCGAACACCCACAAAAGCACCGCAACCAAGCGGCUAACUUGCACUUCCCAUCCGCACCCCCAGCCCCGGGCUGCUGCCCCCCGCCGAGUAAUAAACCUGAGCACAGCUGAUCUUCGCGAGACCGCUUAAAUCUCUCUUAAGAGAGCCAUAAUCCGCCAUCACGUGCAGCAUUAAGGAGCAUUACGAGUAAAACAGAUCCCGAGGUGUCAGUAAGCAGUCGGCUGCGGCGCCGGGCACCGCGCUCGCCGCUACCCGUAGCACGCCCUGCCCAAGCGCUUCCGCGCACCACGAACACGAACCUCAGCACCGCGAUAAAGGCUCUUUCUUCACACCACACGUGCGCGCCGCCGUCGCCUUUCUCCAGCUGAAAGCGGGAUCAGAACUCUGGGCCGGCCCAACCGCCCGAGCCCGGCGCCGUCGGGAAGCGCCCAGCGCGGGCGGCAGAUAAAAAAGGCGGCAGCUUCUCACUGGAACCACCAAGGAAUUUUGAUCCUGUAAGAAAUGCACUAUAAAAUGGGCCUGAGAGGGCUGUCUGAGUGGGGGAAAGUGCAAUUGGAUGUUACGUUUGCUUUUGUUGUGAUUGAUGUGACUCUGUCCGAUUUAUUUUCAAAUAUCAGAAUGGGUUCUGGAUGGAACUCUUGCAACCAAAACCUGUGAUCCAUUUGCCAAGAGCUGUUUUUACUCCAGUUGAGAACCGAUUUGUCUGGAUUUUGCCUUAGGCACAGUCCUUACCAUCUUCUGCCAGAGAUUUUUUCCCCCUGCAGACUUAAUCCAGGAUCCAGAUACAUGAUUGUUUAAAAUUUACAUUUAAAAAGGAGUAAAAGAUUGAUUGGAAUUCCAGGGGAGGAGAAGGAGGCAUGAUGAUAUAUUGGAAUCUUUUGUUCCCAGAAGAACCAGGAAAGAAUUAAGAUUAUUAAAGAAACGUAAUUUGGGUCAGACCAAGCAUCUAAAUCCACAUCAGUUAAAAAGAUGAUUUUCCCUACAUUUUUAAUGUGUUUGACACAAGCGUGUUUGAUUUAUGAUGGGAGUCAAAACCAUCUGUAUUUGGGGAACAAGCACAUACUUAUUUAAACAAUGGGGCUGCCUGGGGGGAGGCAUAGGAAAGAAAUGACAUUCUUUUGCAAAGAAUUCGGUGUUUUUCACUCCAUGAAGUAACUGGCACUGGUUUGAAAAGUGCUCUGCAGCAGGAACAGUAGCUCAACCUAUCUUAAAGGAGUCCAGCAGUUUACCUUUAUGCAAUUGGUAUGAUAGUGAACAAGGUUAUCACUGAUAAAGCUCUGCUAUUCCCUACUUUCCUUUCAGUGACCCCUGUGAAGAGAAUUGGUCUCAUUGGGCACCACUGAAAAGAGCCUGGCCCCAUUCAUUGGACUCCCUCCCUUCAGAUAUUAGGGACUUGUUCUAACUGCAGAUGAGGCUGAAGCAAAGGAACCGUUUCCUGAACAUGUCCUCAGCUCUCAUCUUGUGCUGAAAUAGUUUAUUUGAAGUUUUUCAGGGAAGAAGUGUUGAGGGCUAUCAGGAUGACAUCUACAGCGUUAAGUUUUAGCCUGUGCUGGGUGGAGAUUCCAUUCUGUAACCAGAUGCUGUGCUCCAUAUGGAUUGAUAUGAUUAGAAACAGGCUUGGAAAUAACAUUUAACUUUACCAGUCAGCUUCCCAGAGCUCCGUAAGCCAUGUGAAUGGAUGUUGUGCCCGCUGCUUCCUUUAAAUGCAUAACCUUGAAUCCAAGCAUCCCUGCACGUAGGGGACCUUCUUGGCAAGCUGUGGAACUGAUCUCCAAAGCUCAACACAGUCGAUAUCCCAUGACAAAGAUGUGCCUCACUGUAAAGCCCAGUGUAAACUAUGAACGUCAACAAAGGGGCCAGAGGAGAGACAGAAAUAUGUCUGCCCCUGCAAGGUUUCCACAUACGGAGAAAGCAGAAAGUAACAAUCUGCAUUUCAGCUGCUUUUCUAAAUGAAUGUAUUCAACCAUGUGGCGGGCCGGUAGCUUUCUCUUCCUGUGUGAGGCUAUGCCAAACUCGAGCGAGGAAGCCCAGGGUCUUUUAAAAGAAGGUGAGAAAAACUCAAUGGCAAGUGUAGAAUUUUAGAAAAGAGCCAAAGCCUCUGUCCACCCUCAGAAGAGCAGAACGACAGAGCUCUGGCAGCCACUGCAGCCACCACCGAUUUAUUUACGAGUUCCUGGAGUCGAUCCAGUGUAAUUAUGGGCCUGAACUCCAGAUCAGAUUCACUUGACAUUUGAGAAAGUCUGUGGAAAAACAGUAAUAAUAAACUGAUAAUAACCAUCCGUCUCGUAAGCAAUGAGAAAUAAAGGGAAGAGAAAGGGCAGGUGGGGAGAGGGGAAGGCAGCAUAAUCCCCAAAAGAUCUCCUGUUUGUCAGGAGAUACUCUCAGUGUACAACCCUGUGUAUUUUCUAGAAAGAGCUGCAGAGAAUUUUGGAGUAAGUCCUGAAUCAUGUCAAUGCUUUUGCUAUUACUGCACUGGAAAAAAUGAAGAUGGUGGGUGCAGAGGAAGCUGGGAUAAGUUGGGACGGCAGUUUCUCUUGGUGGAGCAGAUAGUUUGUGGCCCACAUGGCAUUUAUCCGAGCGUGCUCAUCACCUAAAUUACGUUACCAUGAAACCGUUGGCUUUGGAAAAAGAUGUUUGAAGAAACUAUGCUUCGGCGUUUGAUUUAUUUUCAAAUUCAUGCACUGAGUAGAAAUAGGCUUUGUUUGUAUUGUACUUUAUUGCAAGUCUCUCAUUCUGCCAGUUCAUAUCAUCGGUAUAACACGGAUGAGUAUUAGGGUUAAAAAUAUUUGUAUUUAAAACAUCUGCAGUCUUAUAUCAGGAUUUAUAUCCCAUUGUUUGAUCCUUCCCAUCUGAAUCACCCCGUAUUGUUUCCUAUUGAAUUGCUGGGAGAUGGCCUCACAAAGCAAACUCUCUGGGAGGUUUCCAGAAAAAAAAUAUUUUUCAAGUAAGAUAAGUUGAUUAAUUCUGCUGAAUGGAAAAGGCUUCUUCUAUGACAAGAAAGAGGCCUGACAUUUAGUUUACAGUUGUCUCAAGUAUUUUAUUUCAGGUGAUGGAAUUGAAUUGCAAGUUAUGAGUGAAUGUUUAAUGAAGCAAGAAGAGUUACGUUUGUGCUACAUCCAAACAGCAUUUGGUUUUCUCAGAGGGAGCAUUCCAGUUAGUUGCUCUCAUCAGACAACAACCAAAUGUCGAGUGCCCUGGCAAUCAACACCGAGCGCCGUAACACUAGACGGUAUCUGAAGGAAAAGGAAUCCUGGGUGGAUGAAUGGGGUUAGUGGCCCAGAACAUGUCAUCUUCAAGUGACCUGCUUCGCCACACUCACGUAACUUCUCAGGAACACCUCCCUUGCAACAUGGGCAGUGUAGCUCCAGUUGUGAAGGAGAAAGGAUAUCGAAAAAGGAACAGCCACAGCUGUAUGCAGAACAAUGAAUGCGCACUUCUUUGAGCUCAGUCUCUGUGAACUGCACACGUUGGUUGUUCAGCCCGUUCUUCCUGAUCUGACAAUGGUAUCAAUUUUUUUCUGCUUAGGAACAUUUCUAGAAUUGUAGUUCUAUGUUAUUUAAAGCUUUCUUUUCUUUUUUUUUUUUAAUUUUACAUUGACUUUUUAUUUAACUUUAAUUGACAUUUACUUAACAGUUCAGGUUACUGUGUUAUUUCUGUAUGCUUUGAUAUUUUCUUCUAUAAAUAUACAUCUCAUAGGUCUUGAGGAGGAGACUUAACAGUCUGGAGAUCUGGUGUAAGGUCAGUAACAAAAUGUAAUACACAGGAAUGUAAUAUAUUUUUUUCCUCUUACCUACCAUGCAUCUGGUUUUCACAGACAGGCCCUUUUCUUGGUCCUGGUAUUUCAUAGGAGCAGAAUGCUGACAGUUGUCUGGGACAGCCUGACCAGAAUAGCAGCUCAGCCUGAGCUGCUGGAUACCUAGAGAUCCCAGACACAUUCACCAUGCACAGCAGAUCAGCCCCACAGAGUAUGCAGUACUUCCACAGAAUUAGAACUUUGGAGCAUAUGUUGCCCAGAUGAACUGCACAACGCGUGGUAAACCCACUUACUGUGUGAAGUCAGGCUAACCAUAUAAUUUAUGCACUAUACAUGUGAUGCACUGACAUGCUGGCCUCACAGUUAUCUUCUAUUCUGCAUAUGCAUAUGACUUCCACUGGGUAUUUCCUGGGCAUGAAGUGACUGUCUUUUUAUUUCUUUGCUCGUAUAUAUUGCAUGAUGAGACGCUGCUACUUGGAAAUAACUGAUUUUUGUUUGGGAUCAGCUCAUGAAAUUCUGCAAGGCUUUGUUGUAGAUGGUCGGCUGUGUUUGCAUCCAAACCACUGAACUCGGCGGAAUGUUGGAGCACAGCACUAUUGGAGGCACACUGAAUAAAGCUUUCAACUACUGACAGCAUCUGAAGAACAUCAGGAAAAUGCUGAAAGCCUAGCCUAGCAAGUAAUAUAAUAGCUGGAGGGAAAAAAAAAUGGUGUAAUGCAGCAUGGCAACAAAUCUCUCUUCACUAAUACGUUCCGAAGAAUGGCUGCUGAAGCUGGGGAUGACCAAGGGAGCACCGAGUGCCUGGGAGAAUCUCUGCAGAGUAGUUGCAUUGCUGUGAACUCCACCAUGCUGCUGGAAUAGAAAGGAAGAGCCAGAUCAGAAGCAGUCACACAGGAGAAGGUUUCUGAAAGCCCAGUGGGCUUUAUGUCAUGAGAAGGUCACGAGCAGUGAGCUGUCAAACUGUGCAUUGAGGCCUUACUUCUGCUGUAAAGUUAUGGCUGUAUUACUGUACCAGGUAGUGGAAAAUCAGGCUCAACAGUUAUUCUUCAUUAAAUGUAAAAUGUUUGCAUUUUAGCCAAUUAAAAUAUCUCAGUGUGUUCAAAUAAUCUGUAAAUCCAUGAUUCUGGAACCUGCCCAGAACUAAUUUAAAAAGCCAGUACCUGUAACAAAGACGUCACAAGUCAAAGAAUAUUAAAAGUGCCUUACUGUUCUAUAAAAUGAACACAGUUGGGUGAGAUUGCUCAGUCAGCAGGGUUGGUCAUGCUUGAGCAGGCUUAGCUCACUUUAAGUGCACCCUCUUACCUUAGGGUUGGGUCUUCUACCUGUGCUUCUCUGGUUCUCCACUGUAUUCCUAGUGCUGGGCAGGCACUUUGUAAAUAAAUAUUUUCCAAUUUGAAAAUGCCAGUUCAACAGUGGGAACUGGUAUCAAGUUGUGUGUUUCAAAUUGGAAGCAUUCAUUCUUAGUAAAAGAGAAUUUGUUCAAAGCUCAUUGCAAAGCUUUUGGAAUUGAAUGCUUCUUAUUUACAAUGCCUCUUUCAGAAAAGCUCUUUUAAAAAAUAAAAACAUUUUAAUAAAAUGGUAUAUUUCUAUUGACAGGGCAUUAGGGGAAUGUUUUAUUACACGGGAAUUUACAAAUUCUCUGGUCUUUUUUCCUCUUCAAACUUGGACAUAUUUCAAAAUGUCAGAAUUUCCUGUGGAACAGAAUUUUCAGUUCUGACAUACCCUUGUCUGUUGAGCCCUUAGAAUGAAGAACAGUCAUUAACAUUGGUAAUCAGCCAACAAACCCAAACUUGCAGGAGAGACAAAAAAGGUUAAGAGAGAGAGAGAGAGUAGAAAUACCUUAUGCAGACUUUUGUACUCAGCAUGUCCUCAGUAACUCAAGCAUACACACAAUUGUCUCUCUAACUGAACUUAGGUAUGGGAGCUUUCUAGCCCUAAACCUCUGACAUUGUUGUAUAAAGGAGGCAUCAGUGGUAUGGUACAACCCAUUCUUCAAAUCAUUUUUUUCAGCAAGCUGAAAAAUAAGGAAUAAGAUGAUAGGCUUUGUUUAAAUCUGUAGCAAAAAUAAUCACUCAUAAAGUCAUGGAAUGUGGAUGCAAGCAUUUGGGGCCUUUUAAAGCUGCCUUGCUUUGCUCAGCUGUACUACUUCAACUACUCAUUGUUGGCGUACUUGAAUCUUCAUCUACAAACUUGGAAAUCUCAAUUCCCCAUCUGAGUUAAAAGUCUAUAAUUUAUGUCCACAAAGUCUUCUGUUUUUUUUUUCAAGGAAAUUUAUCAAGUGGUUUCUCUGUCUCAAAUCCCCUUUCUGAAGAUUAAAAGAGGGAAUAUCUAAAGAAGAUAUAAUAUCCGGUGGCAUUCAGCUACUCAAUAAGAUUGAUUCUGCCUAAGAAGACGAUGGAUAAUUCACACUAUCGGACCAAUUUUCUUUUAAUUCCUAGAAAUGCUUCCAUCAGAUCAUAUACACCAAUGUAGACAAAGAGAGAGAGAUGUGGAGAGAUUUGUAGACAUCAGUAAAUACAGCCAGUUAACUUUUGACGAACUGAGGACCAGAGAAAGAAUAGCUAAUGAUUUGGAAGGAGGUUCUGUGGUACUAUUGCUUUUAAAAGAAAUAAUUUAAAAAAGGAACCAAAAAAUGUUCAGGGCUUUGUUUAUUACAAGAAUGUAUAAAUCUGGGUGCACAAAGAACAAAUAUGCUAUCUACAUAAAACACUUCAGUUUCCUGGCUCCUCCUACUUGGAUUUACUGGAUUAUAGCCAAGGAGUCGUAACUGCCAGAUUUUUCUCUAACAGAAAACCCAUCUGAGCGGAAUUUAGUAUUGGCAGAGGAUGUUUGGAGACAUGUGUGAAAAAUUAGGAACCCUUUAAGGGAAGAAGUCACCCAAUUAAAAACGUGCAGAAAAUAAUCCAUCAUACAUUCCCAUCAAAUCCCUUUUGCUUUCAAGUACCAAAAUAAUGACUGGAUGAGACCCGAGUUGAGUCUAGAGCUGGCUGAACUGCUUAUUGUGGAUUGAACAUUGUUUUUGAAGGGAGAAAAUUCUGAAAUGAGCUUUUUAAUGUUUUUAGUCUUGAUUUUAAGUUCUUUCCCUGUGGAAUAUUUUUGCAUUAAUAAUAUUCAGUGUUUUGGCUGUUUGAAUGAGCUUUCUUCAAGCGUUUUAGUGUAUUUGUACGUGCCAUGUGUUUGUACUUUCAAGUAGUGUUUUUCCUGUCUGGAUGACUCUUAAAUUUUAAAUAGGAUCACAAAUCAAUGAAUGAAAACAUCAAACUGUCACAUAUUCAGUUUCAAGAGGAUAAUCACUUUCUUAAAACGUAUGAAACAUUUGUAAUCACAGGCAUUUGGACGAAGCGCUCAGUGAUUUUCUAAAAAGCAGCACAAUAAUAAUACUAAUUAACAGAUCACAUUCUGCAGCUUAUGAGCAACCAUAUUUGCUACUUAAGAGGCUUUUAGUUUUGCUUUGUAAAUACUGACUCAACUCUACCAUAAUGCGUGUGGUACAGGACCAGUAGAAUGUAAAACAGGGAGUUAGUUUUUCUGUUGUGCUGAGAAAACCAAAAAGCUGCAAAGGAAAGAAAGCUCAGUGUUCUUCUUCUUCUUUUUUUUUUUUUCUUCACCCCAAAAUAGAGCUAAGUGUUGGAUUUCACAAUUUUGUAAUUAUUAAUCAAAGCACAUUCUUCUUCAAAGUAAUAGCCCCAUUUUUAUAGAAAAAGUCAAAAUAAUUUCCUUAUUUCCAUAGUUAAAUAUUUACUUUCCAACAUUAUGAAACCUUUGAGUGGCAUUCAUUUCAUCAGCUAUAAGAAUCACAGUUUCAAAUGCAUACCCUUGAACAAAAUAAAUUGACCUCCAGACAUGCCUGUUUCUCCACAUUGGCUAAAACUUUGGGGUUAGACAAAAUGCUUAACUUAGUCUUGGCUACAGAUAAGUAUUUUCCCAAAAGAAACUCUCCCCAAGCCUGUCUUUUUUGGAGUAGGUUUGAAAUUGCUUUACAUAUUGAACUCUUAAGUAUGUGAUUGCUUGUCAGCUCAAACUUGAGUUACUCCGCAUAUUUGGUUCGGCUUCACAUCUGAAGAAUGCCCCAGAGAGAGAAAUGAUCAUAUAGCCUUUACUUCUCUACCGAAUUUAAGUUCCAUUAUUUUUUCCCAUUUUAUCUCUUUUAUCAUAGCUGCAGGGUAUGUUACAGAGUUAUCCUUUACUCUGCUAAUCAAGAAGAAUGUGUCUAUUAUUCUCUACAUUUAUUUCAUAG
ensembl:lncRNA